CCUACGGGUGGCAGCAGUGAGGAAUAUUGGUCAAUGGACGGAAGUCUGAACCAGCCAUGCCGCGUGCAGGAAGACGGCUCUAUGAGUUGUAAACUGCUUUUGUACAAGGGUAAACCUGAAUACGUGUAUUCAGCUGAAAGUACUGUACGAAUAAGCAUCGGCUAACUCCGUUCCAGCAGCCGCGGUAAUACGGAGGAUCCAAGCGUUAUCCGGAUUUAUUGGGUUUAAAGGGUGCGUAGGCGGGUUUAUAAGUUAGAUGUGAAAUGUCCGGGCUCAACUCGGGAACUGCCUCUAAUACUGUUGAGCUAGAGAGCAGAAGCGGUAGGCGGAAUGUAUGGUGUAGCGGUGAAAUGCUUAGAGAUCAUACAGAACACCGAUUGCGAAGGCAGCUUACCAAGCUAUAUCUGACGUUGAGGCACGAAAGCGUGGGGAGCAAACAGGAUUAGAUACCCGAGUAGUC
rnacentral:rRNA from 1 species